CAAAGAAUAGUUUAUAAAAAUAAUAAUUUUGGAGAUUAUAGAUAAAGAAAAAUCUUUUUCUUUGA
rnacentral:tRNA from 7 species